rnacentral:piRNA from 1 species
UGAAAUGCAGAUGUCAACAACCUUUGGG